rfam:Daphnia pulex DAPPTscaffold_823_Cont11161, whole genome shotgun sequence.
GAUAGUGUGGCCGAUUAGUCUAUGGCGCUGGUUUUAGGCACCAGUCUCUUCGGAGGCAAGGGUUCGAAUCCCUUCACUGUCA